AGGGCUGGGAUGAAAAAAUAUCCUUACAAAGGAAAAUCUGUCCUUUCUACCAGUUCUCAGGAAUGUCUCUUACCCUAGCCUGUCUUCUAUUUUCAUCUGUAAAGAGUCUUGACUGAAAGGAGCUUUGCAGUGAAGUUCAAACAGCCGCCCACUCACAUUUUUCUAGCCCACAGGCUGUUUCCCAGCCCAACAAACAUUGUCCUAUGUCACUGCGGUGCUAUCUGUGGCUGUAACAAUAUCCUAAAGACAUGGUUUAGAAGGUUCAGGAGUUCACAUUUUUAUGAAGUUCCUCAUUUGCCACCUGUGUUCUUUUUGGAUUGGCUUAACAUUCCCCAGCCGUGGAGAACCGGCUGCAAGGGAGUCGUGCUGUACGGAUUUAAAGCUAAAGGUCCUUGUUCUUGUUGUUCUCCCUAAUCUGUCUCUUUAAUCCCCGGGAACCGUGCAGUGGCGGGUGCCCUCUCACGGUUCCCUGGGUGCCCAGCGACUUCCUGGCACCGAUAGACUCAGGGUCCCCAGAACUACCCCCUCCUACGCCUCUUUCUCCCCCACCCCUGGAGCUUGAGCCCCACGUACAAACACAGAGACUCAGUCUUGUUAUGUAAGUUUCCUGGUCCCCGAGCUGAGUGACUCAGCACGAGGUGGUGCCUGCUCUUUCCCAGCCUGGGGCAGCAAGCAGGCUAGCCAGUGCCGGGUGAGCAGCAAACUGAAAUGGAAAACAAGCCUGCGGAUGGGGUCCAGCCGAGCAGCCUUCCCUCGGAUGUGUCUGCUGAGCCCAGGAAGCCCACAGGAACAACUUGAGGGCUGGAGGGCACUAAGCUCUGGAUGGAGAGCUUCUGCUCCCUGCCCACUUCCUGUUUCCUCCUCUCUCACUUUGGUGGAGGGUCACAGAAGCUUCACAUGCGCUUCCCCAUUGCUCCAAGCCUGCCGCUUUCUGGGUCCCUGUUAGGAACUGCACGUUGGUGUCCUUCCAUAAUUGGUCUGGUGAAGCCCUCACCUCCCAGUGUGAUGGGAUUAGGAGGUGGGGCCUUUGGGAGGAGGUGAGGUUUAGAUGCGGUCAAAAGGUUGAGACUCCUCCUCUCUCUCUCUGCCGUGUCAGGGCACAGGAAGAAGAUGCGCCUCUGAAAGCCAGGAAGAGGGUCCUUGCCAGACCCCCACCCUGCUGGUGCCCUGAUCUCGGACUUACAGCCUCCAGAACUUGUUGUGAUAUGACGCCGAGCAAGACAGCUGUGAUCCCUCCCCUCCUGGAUCCUGCAUUCCAGCGUGAGGAGGCAACAGGAAAUAGAAUUUCUGAUUCUGAACGUCUGAAUGAGCUGAGGUGUUUCCAACAAGUUUCCAAGUGCUGUUGAUGCUGCUGGUCCAGGGACCACAGUUUGAGAGACACUGCAAAGACCAAACCCUCUCUGUACUCCAUUCAAAUGCAUCUAUUGGUGGAGCCUGGGAGAGGAGAGCUCAAGUUGAGAGAGAGAAGAGGUCAAGGGGAGGUGACCUCAAAGGUACUAUGGAAAAGGGUUUCAAGGAAUGCGGUGAUUCAAGAUAACUCUGCCAGCUGCUUCAUUGUCUUGGCUGACAAAUUAUUAUAUCAUGGAACUUUAGGCCUAGGCCACACCUUUAAAUUCAUAUGCAAAAACCAAGAGCCAGAGAGGUAUGUUACUUGCUUAGGAUACUAUAGCUAGUAAGGGGCAAGACAUA